UGCAAGUCGAGCGAAUGACGAGAAGCUUGCUUCUCUGAUUUAGCGGCGGACGGGUGAGUAACACGUGGGCAACCUGCCCUACAGAUCGGGAUAACUCAGGGAAACCUGGGCUAAUACCGGAUAAUCCUUCGAAUCACAUGUUUUGAAGUUGAAAGGCGCUUCGGCGUCACUGUAGGAUGGGCCCGCGGUGCAUUAGCUAGUUGGUGGGGUAACGGCCUACCAAGGCAACGAUGCAUAGCCGACCUGAGAGGGUGAUCGGCCACAUUGGGACUGAGACACGGCCCAAACUCCUACGGGAGGCAGCAGUAGGGAAUCUUCCACAAUGGACGAAAGUCUGAUGGAGCAACGCCGCGUGAGUGAUGAAGGUUUUCGGAUCGUAAAACUCUGUUGUAAGGGAAGAACAAGUACGUUAGGAAAUGAACGUACCUUGACGGUACCUUAUUAGAAAGCCACGGCUAACUACGUGCCAGCAGCCGCGGUAAUACGUAGGUGGCAAGCGUUGUCCGGAUUUAUUGGGCGUAAAGCGCGCGCAGGUGGUUUCUUAAGUCUGAUGUGAAAGCCCACGGCUCAACCGUGGAGGGUCAUUGGAAACUGGGGAACUUGAGUGCAGAAGAGGAUAGUGGAAUUCCAAGUGUAGCGGUGAAAUGCGUAGAGAUUUGGAGGAACACCAGUGGCGAAGGCGACUGUCUGGUCUGUAACUGACACUGAGGCGCGAAAGCGUGGGGAGCAAACAGGAUUAGAUACCCUGGUAGUCCACGCCGUAAACGAUGAGUGCUAAGUGUUAGGGGGGUUUCCGCCCCUUAGUGCUGCAGCUAACGCAUUAAGCACUCCGCCUGGGGAGUACGACCGCAAGGUUGAAACUCAAAGGAAUUGACGGGGGCCCGCACAAGCGGUGGAGCAUGUGGUUUAAUUCGAAGCAACGCGAAGAACCUUACCAGUCUUGACAUCCCAAUGACCGUCCUAGAGAUAGAUUUUCCCUUCGGGGACAUUGGUGACAGGUGGUGCAUGGUUGUCGUCAGCUCGUGUCGUGAGAUGUUGGGUUAAGUCCCGCAACGAGCGCAACCCUUAUUCUUAGUUGCCAUCAUUUAGUUGGGCACUCUAAGGAGACUGCCGGUGACAAACCGGAGGAAGGUGGGGAUGACGUCAAAUCAU
rnacentral:rRNA from 1 species